rnacentral:rRNA from 1 species
UACGAAGGGUGCAAGCGUUGUCCGGAAUUAUUGGGCGUAAAGGGCUCGUAGGCGGUCCGUCACGUCGGGAGUGAAAACUCGGGGCUCAACCCCGAGCCUGCUUUCGAUACGGGCGGACUAGAGGUAGGUAGGGGAGAGCGGAAUUCCUGGUGUAGCGGUGGAAUGCGCAGAUAUCAGGAGGAACACCGGUGGCGAAGGCGGUUCUCUGGGCCUUACCUGACGCUGAGGAGCGAAAGCGUGGGGAGCGAACAGG